UACGUAGGGGGCUAGCGUUGUCCGGAUUUAUUGGGCGUAAAGAGCGUGUAGGCGGCCAGAUAGGUCUGCUGUGAAAACUCGAGGCUCAACCUCGAGCUGUCGGCGGAAACCAUUUGGCUAGAGUCCGGAAGAGGAGAGUGGAAUUCCUGGUGUAGCGGUGAAAUGCGCAGAUAUCGGGAAGAACACCCGUGGCUAAGGCGGCUCUCUAGUACGGUACUGACGCUGAGACGCGAAAGCGUGGGGAGCGAACAGG
rnacentral:rRNA from 1 species